AUUGAACGCUGGCGGCAGGCUUAACACAUGCAAGUCGAGCGGAGAUGAGGUGCUUGCACCUUAUCUUAGCGGCGGACGGGUGAGUAAUGCUUAGGAAUCUGCCUAUUAGUGGGGGACAACAUUCCGAAAGGAAUGCUAAUACCGCAUACGCCCUACGGGGGAAAGCAGGGGAUCUUCGGACCUUGCGCUAAUAGAUGAGCCUAAGUGGGAUUAGCUAGUUGGUGGGGUAAAGGCCUACCAAGGCGACGAUCUGUAGCGGGUCUGAGAGGAUGAUCCGCCACACUGGGACUGAGACACGGCCCAGACUCCUACGGGAGGCAGCAGUGGGGAAUAUUGGACAAUGGGCGGAAGCCUGAUCCAGCCAUGCCGCGUGUGUGAAGAAGGCCUUUUGGUUGUAAAGCACUUUAAGCGAGGAGGAGGCUACCUGGAUUAAUACUCUAGGAUAGUGGACGUUACUCGCAGAAGAAGCACCGGCUAACUCCGUGCCAGCAGCCGCCGCAGUAA
rnacentral:rRNA from 1 species